rnacentral:rRNA from 1 species
UACGGAGGGGGCUAGCGUUGUUCGGAAUUACUGGGCGUAAAGCGCACGUAGGCGGCGACUCAAGUCAGAGGUGAAAAGCCCAGGGCUCAACCUUGGAAUUGCCUUUGAUACUGGCUGUCUUGAGUAUGGGAGAGGUUAGCGGAACUCCGAGUGUAGAGGUGAAAUUCGUAGAUAUUCGGAAGAACACCAGUGGCGAAGGCGGCUAACUGGCCCAUUACUGACGCUGAGGCUCGAAGGCGUGGGGAGCAAACAGGGAUUAGAACUACCUAGUA